CAGAGCCUCCAUUUUCAAUCCUGCUGUUGGGCAGCAUGUGAGGUCGGCAACCAAGUCUCCCGACCUCUGGGAACCUCUCCAAAUCCCUCCUGGGUUCAAUACGGGACUAUGUUGAACAGCGCAGAGCCAUGUCUCCUAACACAUGCUGGGUCCAUCUCUUGUUACCCUCUCCUCUCCAGUGUCUCUGUAAAUACCUCCAGGGAUGCCCGGAUGGCCCUGAUUCUGAGCAGGGACCAUCAUCUCUCCUGUGCUCCAGUUACCCUGCCAGCGACCUGUGUGUCCUCAUCCCUACUCCAGCCAUCGUUCUUCUUGGCGGUCACAGGAGAAGCCCUUCUUCCCACACCCUGGAUCCCCCUCCAGUGUCUCAACUAUUCCUGCACUGGCACCAUCUUAGCCCCUUUCAGACCAAAAGUGAAGCAAGCCUUGUGGCAUCCCUUUGAGUCCCUUUGGAAGAGUAUAAGGGGACCCCCUAAAACAGUUAAAUUAUCUCUAGGUAUUACCAUUGUCCUGGAUAUGCAGUGUAUCAGAGAGAGCCAGCCAGUCCCCAUCUGGCUGGGAUCUGCCCCUGCUACCGAAGGCUAGAGAUGCCGUGAGGGACAGAAUCCAUCCCCAGAGAGCAGAAACAGCAGGGCUGCCAGCUCCUAUCUUUUUUUUUUUUUUUUUUUUCAGGACACACGAGCUGAGCCAUAAACAGCUCUCUGGGACCCAAAUUAAAAGGUCCUUUAUUGGGGGAACAG
rnacentral:lncRNA from 1 species